UUGAUCCUGGCUCAGAACGAACGCUGGCGGCGUGGAUAAGACAUGCAAGUCGAACGAGAGAAUUGCUAGCUUGCUAAUAAUUCUCUAGUGGCGCACGGGUGAGUAACACGUGAGUAACCUGCCCCCGAGAGCGGGAUAGCCCUGGGAAACUGGGAUUAAUACCGCAUAGUAUCGAAAGAUUAAAGCAGCAAUGCGCUUGGGGAUGGGCUCGCGGCCUAUUAGUUAGUUGGUGAGGUAACGGCUCACCAAGGCGAUGACGGGUAGCCGGUCUGAGAGGAUGUCCGGCCACACUGGAACUGAGACACGGUCCAGACACCUACGGGUGGCAGCAGUCGAGAAUCAUUCACAAUGGGGGAAACCCUGAUGGUGCGACGCCGCGUGGGGGAAUGAAGGUCUUCGGAUUGUAAACCCCUGUCAUGUGGGAGCAAAUUAAAAAGAUAGUACCACAAGAGGAAGAGACGGCUAACUCUGUGCCAGCAGCCGCGGUAAUACAGAGGUCUCAAGCGUUGUUCGGAAUCACUGGGCGUAAAGCGUGCGUAGGCUGUUUCGUAAGUCGUGUGUGAAAGGCGCGGGCUCAACCCGCGGACGGCACAUGAUACUGCGAGACUAGAGUAAUGGAGGGGGAACCGGAAUUCUCGGUGUAGCAGUGAAAUGCGUAGAUAUCGAGAGGAACACUCGUGGCGAAGGCGGGUUCCUGGACAUUAACUGACGCUGAGGCACGAAGGCCAGGGGAGCGAAAGGGAUUAGAUACCCCUGUAGUCCUGGCAGUAAACGGUGCACGCUUGGUGUGCGGGGAAUCGACCCCCUGCGUGCCGGAGCUAACGCGUUAAGCGUGCCGCCUGGGGAGUACGGUCGCAAGAUUAAAACUCAAAGAAAUUGACGGGGACCCGCACAAGCGGUGGAGUAUGUGGCUUAAUUCGAUGCAACGCGAAGAACCUUACCUGGGCUUGACAUGUAAUGAACAACAUGUGAAAGCAUGCGACUCUUCGGAGGCGUUACACAGGUGCUGCAUGGCCGUCGUCAGCUCGUGUCGUGAGAUGUUUGGUUAAGUCCAGCAACGAGCGCAACCCCUGUUGCCAGUUACCAGCACGUGAAGGUGGGGACUCUGGCGAGACUGCCCAGAUCAACUGGGAGGAAGGUGGGGACGACGUCAGGUCAGUAUGGCCCUUAUGCCCAGGGCUGCACACGUACUACAAUGCCCAGUACAGAGGGGGCCGAAGCCGCGAGGCGGAGGAAAUCCUAAAAACUGGGCCCAGUUCGGACUGUAGGCUGCAACCCGCCUACACGAAGCCGGAAUCGCUAGUAAUGGCGCAUCAGCUACGGCGCCGUGAAUACGUUCCCGGGUCUUGUACUCACCGCCCGUCA
rnacentral:rRNA from 1 species